rnacentral:rRNA from 1 species
CGAGCGAACUGAUUAGAAGCUUGCUUCUAUGAUGUUAGCGGCGGACGGGUGAGUAACACGUGGGCAACCUGCCUGUAAGACUGGGAUAACUUCGGGAAACCGAAGCUAAUACCGGAUAGGAUCUUCUCCUUCAUGGGAGAUGAUUGAAAGAUGGUUUCGGCUAUCACUUACAGAUGGGCCCGCGGUGCAUUAGCUAGUUGGUGAGGUAACGGCUUACCAAGGCAACGAUGCAUAGCCGACCUGAGAGGGUGAUCGGCCACACUGGGACUGAGACACGGCCCAGACUCCUACGGGAGGCAGCAGUAGGGAAUCUUCCGCAAUGGACGAAAGUCUGACGGAGCAACGCCGCGUGAGUGAUGAAGGCUUUCGGGUCGUAAAACUCUGUUGUUAGGGAAGAACAAGUAUGAGAGUAACUGCUCGUACCUUGACGGUACCUAACCAGAAAGCCACGGCUAACUACGUGCCAGCAGCCGCGGUAAUACGUAGGUGGCAAGCGUUAUCCGGAAUUAUUGGGCGUAAAGCGCGCGCAGGCGGUUUCUUAAGUC